rnacentral:lncRNA from 1 species
GAAGAAGCACACGGCGAAGGAGCUCCAGGCGAAGGCCGAUGCAGCGUUGACCAAUAGAGGCGGAGGAAAGGCGGGACUCGCCGACAGGACCGGUAAGGAGAAAGGUGGUCACGCUAAGUACGAGUGUCCUCACUGCAAGAUCACUGCACCUGAUCUCAAGACGAUGCAGAUCCAUCACGAAUCGAAGCAUCCUAAGAUGCCUUACGAGGAGCCGAGGAACCUCCACGAGGCUUUAGCUGCACCUGAAUCGUCCAAACCCAAACCCGGAAUAAGAGGAAGCCUGAAGAAGUGAUUCGGAUUGUGUCUGUGUGUUGUUCGUAUCGAAUUCCUUAUAAAAAUUUGUCAUCUUUUUUUAUGGGUUUCAAGUUGUUGAUGUGAGAAUAUAAACUGC